rnacentral:rRNA from 1 species
UACGUAGGGCGCGAGCGUUGUCCGGAAUUAUUGGGCGUAAAGAGCUCGUAGGCGGCCUGUUGCGUCCGCUGUGAAAUCCCGGGGCUUAACCCCGGGCGUGCAGUGGAUACGGGCUGGCUGGAGGCAGGCAGGGGAGAACGGAAUUCCCGGUGUAGCGGUGAAAUGCGCAGAUAUCGGGAGGAACACCGGUGGCGAAGGCGGUC